GGACGAGGAAGACGAAGAGGAGGAGGAGGAAGAAGAAGAGGAAGAGGAGGAGGACCUCAUCCCAGAGUUCGGCGUGACGGCCGUGGUGGGCUGCGAGGCCUUCUUCCCCUACCACUGGGGGCUGGCCUCACACCUCGACCCCAUCGGGGAGGAGGACGAGAACAGGUGCGAAGAGGACACCGCAGCCGGCGGUCGCGCGCCCACCAUACACGCAGACGCGGACGUCGACGCCGCCAGCAGCCGCUUCCAGAUCGUCGCCACCAGGUUUUCGACGGAAGUCCUGCAAGAGGUGGAAGACGAGGAUGAGGAGGAGGACGAGUGGCAGGAGGCCCUGGACGGGGAGUGGCCAGUAGCGGCCAGCCACGGCCACGUGACC